ACCCUGCGGGAGAGACCAGACCCGCAUCAUGCGUAGGGUCCGGCGCCGAAGGAGCAACCGCCCCGGAAACUCUCAGGCAAAACGGACCGCAGGGGG
rnacentral:ncRNA from 1 species